GGUGGAUGACUUCGAGGACUUCAUCUUUACUCACUUCUUUGGAGAAAGAGCUCUGAAGAGGAGGUCGGGGAAGAAGGACAAGCACUGGCGGAACCCCAGAGACGUGGGGCCCCGGGAGGAGCCUAGCCACCGCUCCCACCCCCACCCCCAGCCCCACCCCAGGGGCUGAGUCCUGCCUGGGGCAUGGCCCAGCCAAGAUCCCCAGCAUCUCAGACCCCUGGAGGCCAGGCCCCAGCCAUGCCCCUGGCUCUCCAGGUGUGGUGUCCCUGGACGUCCUUCACAGAGGAGCAGAACGCAGCGGCCCUGCACUGAUGUCACUUUCCCUACAAAAAGGCCUGAGCUGGACCCACCUGACUGGCUAUGCAAAUAUAUGCAAAUGCUCAGGGCCCCGGGGCGGGGCGGGCUGGGCAGCCGGUUGGGCUGGGCCAGCGUGAAGGGGACCCAGAGGAGCCUGCUGUCAGUGGGGAAGGGCAUCCUGUUUCUGUCCCCUCCUGUGUGUGCCUCUAGCCCCACGCUGACCCGGCACCCCCUGGGACUUGACUGGCUGGCUGCCCAGCCCAGCGCUUGCCCUGGGGUUUGUUAGAUUUGGAAGCAGCCGUCCCUAGGGGUGAAGUCCCCUCCCCCUGCUUCUCACAUGGCCUCACCUCCCCGUGUGAACUAGAGACUUCUGUCAAUUAUAGACUUAGAAACCAGGGGUGGUUUCUAAGCCCAGGGGCCACCGUGCACCUGCCCACCCGAGUGGGGGGUGACAUCCUAGGCCCUGGUACUCACCACCUCCUGUGUGGCCUUUCCUCCUGGCCGUGCCCUCCCCACAAAGCCCCAGGCCCUCGGGGCUGGAAAUUCAUCUUUCUGCUCCAAGCUGCCUGGAGAGCUGGGAAAAGAGCAGAGAGGACUUUUGUGGACUCGAAUCUGGGAGAAUGAGAUGGAAUAAAACAAUUAAAACGCC